rnacentral:lncRNA from 1 species
GCACGCAGGGAUGCUUCAGCCCGGACAGACGCCACCGACAGCCCCGAGGGACCCCAGGGAACGGCUGGCAUCACCUGGGAAUGGAGGCACGGCCGUUUGCAGAGCGGCUCUGACAGCAAUCCCUGUUUCUGACCUCCCCGAGCUCCCACACAGCUGCCAGAUACUAAAUGCCAAGCCAUAGCCUCAGAGAUGCCUUAAAAUCAGAGGUUCGAGUGGGAUGAUAUCUGGAGAUUUUCAGGGAGCCAGCUGGAGGUGCAGAAGUGAUGGAAAACUCUCACAGCAGCCAGGAGCCAAAGCAGAUCCCUCCUGGCUGGGCUGGAUGGGAGAUGAGGCCGCUGGAAUGUCACCUGGAUCAGCUGAACACGUUCUGUGCCUGCAGCAGCCAGGAGCCAAAGCAGAUCCCUCCUGGCCGGGCUGGAGGGCACCUGCUGCAUCUGCUCUGGGGGAAAACUCCCUGCCCCUGCCAGGAGCGCUGACUCUGCUUUUCCUCCAGCUCCUGAGCAGUGUCAGGGUCACCGGGAGGGGGUUCAAACCCAAAAAGUCCCCACAGCCCCCAGAGUGAAUGAUCCCAGCAGAGAAACGCAGCAUUGAAAUAAAAAAACUAAGAGCUCUGUCAAAAAGGCUGUGACAACAGUGCAAUGGGAUUCCCAGGAACCUUCUGGUUUGCUCUCAGAAUGCUCUUGGUUCUCUUUCAUGUAUUUUUAGUCCCUCAACGGGCAGCUUGUAGAAUUUAUUCUGGGACUUAGAGGUUGAGCAGGGUGGGCUCUGGAUUGACCUUUGCCUCUGGUGCCACUUUGUGCAAACACAACUUGGCCAGGCUGGGUGAACUCAUGGCCUCAGCUUUCCCCUCCAAAAUGUCCCUCACUUAUUUCCCUGCGGGUGAGCUGGGAUUUGGCCCCAGACUGUCACUCCUCACCUCCCCGUGCCCCCACAGUGUCCGUUCUGUUCCCCACAGAGCCCUGGGGACACCAGGGGGUCCCUUUGCCUUCUCCCGCCCCUUUCCAGCUCCUCUGGCUCCUCUGCCCUUGUCCCACACAGCACAGGGACACAAAAGGGGAAAGGCUCCAGAAAACAUUUCUGCAAUUAACCAGCAAUUAUUUCAAUUCCCCAGUGAGAAGAACAUGAACUCACAGCCACCGAGGCCUGACGGGUUCCUGCAGUGAGAGUUCAGCGCUUGUCUGCAGAGGUGAGUGCAGCAUCUGAAAGGAAAAAAACACAGGGGAAAAAUGUGAUUUAUUUUGCUUCAAAGUUAUUUCAUGUUCUUAAAGCCCAACCAACUUCUGCUCUUGAUUUUGGUCGGGUGAAACAGGAGCGGUGGGCAGGGGUCGUGCCAUUGAUGCGCAUGUGCCUGAUGCUUUCUGGGGCAGAAAAAGUAGAUUAAGCUCACCUUAUGUCAAGCAGUUAUUAAAAAGGAUUUAUAGCUCUUUAAACAUAGCACCCUUUAAUUACCAUAAUGUUUCUUCCAUGCUUUUAACUAAUUCUCAGUGUAUUUUAUAAAACUUAAAAUAACACCUCCUCCCCAUAAAACAGACUCAUCAAGCAUUAGACAAAAAGCCCUACUGCCAGUCUCAUGCUUGCACAUCUAACAGGAGACCCUCCCCAUAACCAAACAAAAAAUCAAAAUAAUGUGCCAAAAGUAGUCCUUACUAACAUUAAAAAUACAACUCAACCGUAUCAAAAAAAAACCCCAAAUUUAUUUCCUACAAACACCAAAUAAUCUUCAAAUUCUAAAUUAAAAACUCUUAAAAAAACAAGAACCAUCAAAACAUACUUCAAAUAUAGAAAAGCUUAAACGUAUAAAUAAAUAUUUGUCAAAGCCCACAAAAAAUAUAAAAGAAUCUAAUCAAUAUCCUGCAUUUAAAAAACCCACUAUACAAAUUAGUACCAUUUGCAAUGUAACAUAAAUAAAAAAAAUUUACUAAGAAACAUAUUUCCCAAUAAAUAAAACCACCCUGUAAAGAUAUAAGUAAUAAUCACAACUCAACAAUUUAAAAUUUCUCCAAAACAAAAAU